AAAGUAGAGGGAAUCGAAAUUUUUUAAAGAAUUUAGAAAAGUACUGUAAAGGAAGCCUGAAAUAAUUGAAAAUUUAAUAUUUGUUAAGUAAUAAUAAAAUUAUGUACCUUGUGUAUUAGGGUUAUUUAAAUUUAUGUACAUAUUUGUAAAAAUCUCGAAAGAGGAAUAGCUAGUUUAAAAAAUGAGUUUUUGUGGCAGAAAGAUUUAUAAUUUUAUUCUAGGAGUGAAAUAUUAGUCGAGUCCUCUGAUAUCUAGUUUUUUAAAAAGUAAGUUCAAAUUAGCGUUUUUAUUAAUUUUAUAAAAAAGGUAAAAGUAGGAGGGGAAAGCUUCUUAUUACUCUAAUUUAUAAGGAAGUAGAAAAAUAAGGUUUAACUAGGCUUAAAAUUAGCUAUGUUUUUAAAGUGUUAUAAAUAAUGCCUUGGCGAAAAAUAUUUAUAUUUUCUUUAAAUUUUUAUUAAAAAUUAAAUUAUAAUUUAAUUUAUUUAAUUAUAGUGAGUAUAUUAGUAGAUAUUAGUGUAUUUAAAAAAAUAUAAAAUUAUUUAAAAAUUUUAUUAAACUUUUUUUUUAUUUGAGGAAUUCGGCAAGGGUUAUUUCUGCCUGUUUAACAAAAACAUGUCUAUAUGAAAGGUAUAUAAAGUCUAACCUGCCCAUUGGGGACUAAAAGGCCGCGGUAUUAUGACCGUGCAAAGGUAGCAUAAUAAUUAGUCUUUUAAUUGAAGGCUAGAAUGAAUGGUUGGACAAGAAAUUAACUGUCUUUGAUAAAAAUAUUAAAUUUAACUUUUAAGUGAAAAGGCUUAAAUAAAUUAGAGGGACGAUAAGACCCUAUAAAACUUUAUAUACUUAUAAUUUAAUAGAAAUCUUUGUUUAUAAAAAUUUAGAUUAGAGUAUUUUAUUGGGGCGAUGAAAAUAAAAUCUUAGGUAACUGUUUUUGUUUUUUAACAAUAAUAUUUGAAUUUUAGAUCCCGAAAAAGAUCAAAAGAUUAAGUUACUUUAGGGAUAACAGCGUUAUUUUCUUUAAGAGUUCAUAUCGACAAGAAAGUUUGCGACCUCGAUGUUGAAUUAAAAGUUCUUUGUGGGGCAGAAAUUACAAGAGAAGGUCUGUUCGACCUUUAAAAUUUUACAUGAUUUGAGUUCAAACCGGCGCGAGCCAGGUUGGUUUCUAUCUUCUAAGAAGAUAAAAUUAUUUUAGUACGAAAGGAUUGAAUAA
rnacentral:rRNA from 1 species